rnacentral:lncRNA from 1 species
GUCUUGGUGUUGAUGUUGCAUCCUGUGCCUGUUUCGGAAGCAGGCAAGGGAAGAUGUGAUCUGUUUCUCUUCUGCAGAAAAAGAGGCCCUUCCUCCCCUUCCCGCGAAGGUGAGUGUGCGAUCCUGGCUGCUCUUUUUCGCUGUAAAGACUAGGGUGUCUCGAGCGUGCGUAGGAAGGUUGGAACCUGUGUCGACAAGCAGGGCUCAUUGUUGCUUACUCCUUUGAAAACGACAGUGCUGAACUUUGAAUGUUGGUUUGGGAGGGUGAUUUGGGGGUUUGUUGUUGCUCUUGGAUCCUUUAAGAAACAUUCAUUGUUUUUCUGCUGAUUGUACAUUGUUUUUCUUUGUAGAGAAAUCGUUGUCAGUUACCCUUUCUCAAGCAGCCAGAGAUUCUUAAUCUUUCAAGGAGGAACGUUUUCAAGUAGCAAGAAAUACCUUUUGAGAGGACACGUUAGCUCCUUUUGCUGGGGUUUCUGCUACUACAUUGAAUGCUUCCUGGAUGGUUUUAUCUUCCCAAGUUAGCUGUGUCGGUUGAAUUUACCCAUUUUGCUUUCCGGUGGUUAAUAAUCUGUCAGGAGAAACUCCUUUUUUUUUUUGAAUGAAAGGAUAGAGGCAGCUGAGUAUGUCAUAGAGGGGAGGAGAAAUGUGGGGAAGGACACUAGAAGUGGAAUUAAGAGUGAUGACGAUGGCUUUUGGUUUCGUAAUAGGUUUGUUCGAGUGAGUUGUUGGGCUGCUGCAAAUAUUCUAGUACAACACCCAACAGAUAUGAAGAUGAAUAAUCAACCUUUGGCCUCUGUUUCCCUACUCCCUUAACCUUUUACCACUUUAGGUGUGAGAAUCACUUGCUUGUAUGUGCACAUAUCUGUCAGUGUGUGAUAUGUUUACAAACUAGAUAGGUCCAACAGUACAUGUAUUUACCUGUACAGGAAAACCACAGUAGUUGCUGACUACAUAAGCAUAAUGCUUGUUUUUGCUCAGAGAAUCUUGUGUUUGGAGUAUGUAGCAUGUUUUAGUAAACUGUUAAGGGAUAGCUUGUUUCAUUUAUUAAUUUUUUUCCCCUAAUGGUUUGGGACAGGUGUUUCAGGUAUAGGAAGGGAACAUGAUUUUUUUUUUUCACCUGACUGUUGAUGAAAGGGGACAUGCUUUUGAGGCA